CAAGUCGAACGGUAACAGGUUUACUUUUAUUUCGGUAAGAGUAAAUGCUGACGAGUGGCGGACGGGUGAGCAACGCGUGGGGAUCUGCCUUGGAGAGGGGGAUAACUUUCGGAAACGAGAGCUAAUACCGCAUAUGACGAGAGUUGAAAAAUGGGUUUUCGGACCUGUUGCUCCAAGAUGAACCUGCGUUAGAUUAGCUAGUUGGUGGGGUAAAGGCCUACCAAGGCGACGAUCUAUAGCUGUUCUGAGAGGAAGACCAGCCACACUGGGACUGAGACACGGCCCAGACUCCUACGGGAGGCAGCAGUGGGGAAUAUUGGACAAUGGGGGAAACCCUGAUCCAGCAAUGCCGCGUGUGUGAAGAAGGCCUUCGGGUUGUAAAGCACUUUAGUUGGGGAGGAAGAUAAGCAUAAGAAUACGAUGCUUAUUUGACGUUACCCAAAGAAUAAGCACCGGCUAACUCUGUGCCAGCAGCCGCGGUAAGACAGAGGGUGCAAGCGUUAAUCGGAAUUACUGGGCGUAAAGCGCAGGUAGGUGGGAUAAUUAGUCAGUUGUGAAAGGCCAGGGCUUAACCUUGGGAUUGCAAUUGAAACGGUUAUUCUAGAGGUCAGUAGAGGUAAGUGGAAUUUCCGAAGUAGCGGUGAAAUGCGUAGAGAUCGGAAGGAACACCAGUGGCGAAGGCGACUUACUGGACUGAACCUGACACUGAGCUGCGAAAGCGUGGGGAGCAAACAGGAUUAGAUACCCUGGUAGUCCACGCCGUAAACGAUGAGUACUAGAUGUUGGAAGGCGUUGACCUUUUAGUAUCGAAGCUAACGCGUUAAGUACUCCGCCUGGGGAGUACGGCCGCAAGGUUAAAACUCAAAGGAAUUGACGGGGGGCCCGCACAAGCGGUGGA
rnacentral:rRNA from 1 species